rnacentral:ncRNA from 2 species
GCUACCAUGCGGGCCGUUGGUGCCUGGGCCUCUGCAUCGUCAGGGCUUGGGGUAAACGGGAAGCAGGAAGGUUCACUCCACCGGAGUCCGCCCAGCCUGCGCUGCCCCCGCAACGGUCAGCGGUUGAAAACCUUGCGGUUUUCUCCUUCGUGCCUCUUCGGUCACUGUGGGCGUGAUGCCUGCGGGAAGGCCGCACGAAGUGCCCCGCCAGCCCGGAUACCGGCCAACAACGGGGUGUGUCG